UCGAGAAUCUUCGCGAUUUAGCGCAAGCUAGAGCGAGUGACGCCGCGUGUGGGAAGAAGGCCUUAUGGGUUGUAAACCACUGUCGGGAGGGAAGAAUAGCGGGUAGUAUAAUACGCUGCCCGUGUGACGUUACCUCCAGAGGAAGCUCCGGCUAACUCCGUGCCAGCAGCCGCGGUAAUACGGGGGGAGCAAGCGUUGUCCGGAAUCAUUGGGCGUAAAGGGCACGUAGGCGGAUUGGUAAGUCGGAUGUGAAAUCCCACGGCUCAACUGUGGAACUGCGUUCGAAACUGCCAAUCUUGAGUACGCGAGAGGUAUGCGGAAUUCCUGGUGUAGCGGUGGAAUGCGUAGAUAUCAGGAAGAACACCGGUGGCGAAGGCGGUAUACUAGCGCGAUACUGACGCUGAGGUGCGAAAGCGUGGGGAGCAAACG
rnacentral:rRNA from 1 species